UAAAUCAGUUAUGGUUCACUAGAUCGUAAAACUUACAUGGAUAACUGUGGUAAUUCUAGAGCUAAUACAUGCACCAAGCUCGCUUCCUUGUGGAGCGAGCGCAGUUAUUAGAACAAAACCAAUCCGGCCCUCGGGUCGGUACAAUUGGUGACUCUGAAUAACCGAAGCGGAGCGUAUGGUCUCGUACCGACGCCAGAUCUUUCAAGUGUCUGACUUAUCAGCUCGUUGUUAGUUCAUGUUACUAACAAGGCAGUUACGGGUAACGGGGUAUCAGGGUCCGAUACCGGAGAGGGAGCCUGAGAAACGGCUACCACAUCCAAGGAAGGCAGCAGGCGCGCAAAUUACCCACUCCCGGCUCGGGGAGGUAGUGACGAAAAAUAACGAUGCGAGAGCUUUAUGCUCCUCGUAAUCGGAAUGGGUACACUUUAAAUCCUUUAACGAGGAUCUAUUGGAGGGCAAGUCUGGUGCCAGCAGCCGCGGUAAUUCCAGCUCCAAUAGCGUAUAUUAAAGUUGCUGCGGUUAAAAAGCUCGUAGUUGGAUCUGGGUCGUCGAUGAGCGGUGCGCUUUACGGCGUUUACUGUUUGUUCGGCACCACAAGCCGGCCAUGUCUUGCAUGCUCUUCACUGAGUGUGCUUGGCGACCGGAACGUUUACUUUGAAAAAAUUAGAGUGCUCAACGCAGGCGUACGGCCUUGCAUAAUGGUGCAUGGAAUAAUGGAACAGGACCUCUGGUACUGCUUUGUUGGUUUUCGGAACUCGAGGUAAUGAUAAAUAGGAGCAGACGGGGGCAUU
rnacentral:rRNA from 1 species